GGACCAUUCUAAAUCCCAUCUGCCAAUGUCCUGAAAAGACACCUUCUCUCCCUGAAAUAAUUUAAACAAAAUCCCCAAAUACUUCAUAAUAUUUGUGCAUUUCAUUGUCUAGUCAUUGCCCAGACAAAUAUUGACAAGCAAUGGGAAAGAUGUAAGCAUUACUUCUCCACAGGACUUUGCAAAGUCCCUGUUCUAGCCCAUUGCCUCCCAGAAAUGCCUUCUUCAUGGCCCCUGGGGAGUGAAGUGCAGGCUACCUUUCCUUCUCUGGCUCCCAAAGCAUUACAGGAACUGCUUGGGGGGCAGCUGAACCAAUUUUGCAAAACCUAAUGUGGGUCAGGGAUCAGCUAUUUGAGGCUGAAGUUCAAACCUUUCGGUAAACACCAACCCUCCCAACCCUAAAAAGGAUAUAUAGAUACAUAUCCAGAGAAAUAUGUCUGGGCCCCUUCCAGGAAACGUGUCAAAUGAAUUCAAAUUAUUCUCAUUAGCAUCACUAACAGGAAUGGUAAUAAUGGCUUUCAUUGCCAGUGUCCUAUGAACCAGGAUGGCUGGGAAAAGUACUUGCUCCAGAAAACUGCACGCCCGGCAUCCGGGGGUUUGAGGGUGGCGGAGUCCACAUCACUCAUUUUAGCGCCCAGCUCAGACCCUGCCAGGAGCCCAGGAGUGAGGACAAGACGCAGCUGCACUCCAGCUGCUUUUGCCCCUCUGCAGGCCCCUCCCCUUUACACGGUCUCAUAGAAAUUCAGCAUUCAGGGGCAGCAACAUGUUUCCCUGCGAGCACCCCACUGCUCCAUCAUGAUGAGAUGACUGUGAACUGGGACACCUCAUGUCCUACCACGGUGCCUGGUUUCUCCACCAUCAUUAUUUUUCCACGCAAAGCAUUUCCUGACAAAUUGUGAGGAAUACACUGAGAACGCAAGUUCAAUGUGCAUCGUCACUAACUGUGCAGGAAGAGCCCCUGGUCGUGAUUCACAUUGCUUCCUCACCAACGACUCAGCUUUGGACAUUUCUGAAGAGUUUUGAAUUACUGUAGUCCAUAAAUAACUUCAACAGAUAUCUCUUCUUAAGUCAGAGAAAACUGCCCAUUUGGGGGCAACAAUGAAGCAUUCAUCACUCUCCGGGAGCUAAGCCAUCUCGAGUAGCCCUCAAUCAAACUCUGCUAUUUUUACCUCAGAGCACAGAGGCCACAGCGGAUAAAGGACCCUUAAGGUAGCUCAUCUAAUUUGUGAUGGGGCCCAGGGUUGUAAUACAUCGUCUUCACGGCCGUCUUCAGGGCCAUGAGCCCUGAGCAGGGCUGGUUUCCCAUGCGUGUCUGCUUGGGAUGGGGAGUUUCAUCAGGAAAACCAAGCACAUAUUAGAACAGGAACAGCAGCUUGGCAGUCAGGGCCAGGACCAAGAAUGCAAAGGGGCUGGAGGAUCCAGACUCAAUAGUAGCUCAAAAAGGAAGAUACACACAAAGCUGACACACAGAGUGAGCCACCGCCGGCACUGAGGUCACGGUACACAGUGAGCCACGCCUGGCCAGGACACGGACACACAGGACACUACUGGUCCCAUGCUUCCCCUGGAGCCGCCUCCUUUCCCAUCCUCUGCACUCCCUGGUCCACUCAAGUCCCUGCUCUCUCACACUUCCUCCUGAAGCCAGGCUUUCUCAGAAUCGCUGGGAUCUGCCUCCCCUCUGCAGCUCUGCAGAGCUGGGGGCUUUGCUGCCCCUAAAGCGCUAACUACUCACAGAACGAUGUCAAGGGCACCUCUCAUUGUCCACAUCCAUCUUUUGUCUCCUGCGGAGGGGCUGAGUCCACGCUUUGUGUGGCUUCAGUAUUCAGCCCCUGGCUUCCUCACCCGGCCACUGUGAGCUUUCCUUACACAAAACUGGACUGAACUGCUGGGUCAAUUCUCAAACCAUGCAGAAAAGCAGGGAGGUGCCGGCAUUGGCCUGAAUUUAUCAUACUCUUCAUUUCCCCGAAGUAUAAAUUAACAUUAGGCCCUGAGAUCCACAGCGUAUAAUCACUCUAAAUUCA
rnacentral:lncRNA from 1 species